rnacentral:rRNA from 1 species
ACUUAAAUUGAAGAGUUUGAUCAUGGCUCAGAUUGAACGCUGGCGGCAGGCCUAACACAUGCAAGUCGAGCGGUAGCACAGAGAGCUUGCUCUCGGGUGACGAGCGGCGGACGGGUGAGUAAUGUCUGGGAAACUGCCUGAUGGAGGGGGAUA